CUGAAUUCAGUUAACUCGAGUUAAUUGGUAAUCAAUUAACUGGAGGAAAAUAGGACCAAAACCUCUACUCUUGACGUACUCAAAUCCAGCAGGCAAAAAACUAAAAAAAGCCUGCAAGCUGACUCUGCAUGAUCCUCUUAUUUUCUGUUUAAGGUAGAUUGAAAAACAUUAGCAUUUGAAAGUCAGUAGGAAAAAAACUUAUUUGUACAGAAGCCCUGCAUCUGUCUGUGAAUGCAAUGUAUGUCUGAAGAGUAGCUGUCUCUACCUACAAUGAUUUCCAGGGUAUGUAACGAAAGCUUUUGUACAACCAGUCUGCAAGAAAUGAGGGGAAGCAGAGCAGUAGGGAUGUGUAGUGGAGAUGCAGCAGUGUGCAAAUACACAUUGUGGUGGCUGGAGCUUCAUGCUGAGGGCAGCAUAUGGCAUCCUGGCUGAAAGCCUCUUCCCCUGCUAUGUGGCAUGAGGUGACUGCAGGAUCAGCCAUCACAGAGGGGGCACCACGGGCAGUCAGGUGGCUGCUGUUGGAGCUGAAUAGCUGCAAACAAGGCUCAAAGUUCUUACUGGCAAUAGCUCCCAGCACUUGUGCUGUCAGUGGUUAUUCAGGCAAAACAUUCUCCAGAACGUGAGGUCUCUGGCCAUGUUCCCCGAGGAUGUUGGCUGGGCAAGUAGUGCAUUUAUUACAGCAACUGCCAUUGCAUUUUCUUUUAAAAUACUGCAUUUCUGCCCAGGAUCCAUCCGGAUGUUCCUUCACAGGGUAUUAAAUCAAACCAGUAUUUACAAAGAUAAAGAGCUGUAUCCAGCAUUCAGAAGAAGCUCUGUGAGUUUGCACAUUUGAGCUAUGUGCCACAGGUACAAUUUUAUCCUUUGAUAACCAAAACGUGUUUCAGCCUCUGAAAGAAGUGGGUGGAGCUCAGCCCAUGUUAGCUCUUCAUUGGCAAACUUCCUCUGGGCAUCAGUGAAGUGGGCUAUGGUAUAACACAGUGGUUUCUCAUGCAUCACCCAUUUGCCAAACUCAUGUUGUUAUUUUGUUAAUGCAUUCAGUUCUGUUUUUCUCUCUGCAUGAAGAGAGCUGGGGCUGCCUUGAUGCUCAUUUCCAGACCCUCUGGAUCCUUCAACUACUGUUCAAUCAUCUGCAAUAAGAGUUUCUAACAGCCAAGGCUGUCAAAGCCUGAGGUUAAGCUCCCAGAACUAUAUUUAGGCACUUCAACAGGUGGCCUGAAGUAUGAAAGUGCUCAGCCUUCAAGCUGCUGCUCAGCUACUUAAACACUGAAAUCCACAGACCAGCUGAGAGGUCAGGCCUGGGAAGUACCCAGACAUGUGCUAAGUGCCUGAAUGUGUUCAUGGGAACAUGGGAUAAAGUCUUCCUUUUUUUAGUGUUUUUUUUUUUUUUUAAUUCUCUUUCCGCUUUUAAAUUACAAACAUUUUUUUCCUAGAUAAUGUUUAUUCUCUCCAUUGUCAUAGAAGAGCUGUUGUCUAAUAUCCCUGAUCAGUUCUGUCUUAACUCAUGCAAAGGUCAAUUUAGUUCAGCAGCCAGAGCUCACGUUUAAUGGAGAGACAGCAGCUAAUUUCACCUUUCCAUUUAAAAGCAGGUGCUAAAAUUCAGUGAUGAUUGCUUGUUAGUUAGUGUUUCAUAAGCAAAAGAUAAACUAUACCCUAUUCUCCCUUUGUGCAAAAUAGUACUGCCAUAUGGGGAUGGCUUAUGGACCACUGCUCAAUUUCCAGACAGGUUCUGAAGUCUGAGCAUCUACUUCACAAAAAAAAAAAACAUCUGAUAAAAAGGAACACCUUGAUCUUUCUAUGAAGGUCACAUGUGGUGUGAUAGAUACUCCAUUUAGCACUGACACAUCUGUAUGAAAUGUUUCAGUGUUGAUGGAAUGUUAUAUUUUAGUGACUUAAGUGUUCUUUAAAAAACAGAAAAAAAUCUUGCAGAAUUCCUGGGUGUUUGAAUGCAUCUGGUUUUAACUGUAAAAUGCUUUGCUCAUGAAUAUUACUUGUAAAAUUGCUUUUUGAUACAUAAUACAGCUGUUGAAAAUUUAGUGAUCUUUUGGUAUGUGUCAAUUUAAGUCAUUAUACCUCGCAGACAGUUUGUAACUCCUAGACAAAAGCUAAAUACUGCUUUAUCCAAAGUUCUUAGAUGUGGCCAUUGCUUGGAUCAGAAACUCCCUUGUUUGGUCUAGAGGCAGACUUGAAUGUGGACUGAUCCAGUGCACAAUCACGCUGCCCAGAUUCUGAAAUUUCAUGAACAACUGACUUCGCCUGUAGUGAAUAAUUAAAUAAAUGAGCCUAAUGUUCCCCGCCUGUGUUGAUUUUGGCUCAUUAAUUGUGUGUGCGAUCCCAUGACCUGUACUUCAUGCUCCGCAUUCACUGCACAGAGCAAUCCCCUCCCCAGCACCGCGUUGCUGCUCCCCAGGAAUGGGCAGCUUUGUUGCCUGCCACUGAGCAAACACGGCAGUUCUACUGUUGGUAGUUUAACACCCCUUGGCAAGCAGGCUCAGGAUUAGGCCUUCUGUUUAUAAGACUAGGUUUAAAGCAAGUUUUUCUUCUCUGCUUAAUCCAGAUUAAUAAGAGAUUGGAAUUUUGUGUCAUUCUUCAUUAACUAUAAAGCCCAUUAGGAUAUAUUGCUUGCUGUGUGAUUUCACAGAUGCUGCAACAAUACUGUGAUCAUCAACCUGGAUAUAAGGAUUUUAUAAUUAAGUGCAAUGGAUUCUGAAACUGUUUUAACACAAUAAAUCUGUUUUAUCAUUUUAAAAUUCAGUUGACACUUUGAUUCCCUUUUAAGAAUAAUCAGUUGCAUUCAACCCACAGCAUGUAAGGCAAGCAUAAGAAUUUAUUGGCCUAAUAAAACAUAAUUACGUGUGUCAGAAUAAAAACUUAUAUCCAUCCAUUGAUAUUACUGUUGUUGUUGCUGCAUUGCUCUAAGGUGAAUGUUAAAGCUGUUCUUUGCUUUGCUUGAGCUUUGUAACAGGGCAACCCUUACCAGAAUUUCACAAACUGAUAGUUUUUUUUUUUCCUUUUGGUGUUGAAUUCUGGUGUUGUGGAAUCUGAUUGCAAAUUUCUCUUGGGUAUGAGGCUGCAACUGUGCUGUAAAAAAUGAAAGCAAAUCUGUUACCUUUUUAACACCAUAGAAUCAUAUUGAAGCUUUUUAUUUUCCAGUCAUGCCUGAGUUUGGAAGGAAUAUGACCACAUCAAGGAAAGUACUCCAAACUGGAUUUGACUAAAACUCAAAAGAUGGACUAAUCUGAAUACCACAGAACUGAACAGUGGAUAAUGUUGCGGGUACAAAUGGCAGUCUCACCACUGAGAAGAAAACAAGCUGUAUAUCAUUAGGGGUUUAUCUGUUGUAUCCCCUGCCAUGAUUUUUGUGGGGCUGGUCCUACACAGAUUUUAACUCUUGCUGUGGUUUUUGUUACAUAGUCAGUUCAUGUUAUGAUGAAGACAGAAAGAAGGGAAAGAUGCCUGUGAUAUCUCAAGGACAUUUUCAUCAAAGAUGCCCAGAGUCAGUCUAGUUCAAAGAGCUAAGAAGGACAGCCAGUGAUUCUGCUUACUGAACUGAUGAAUCCCAAUAGUUUCUUAUCAGCCAUCUGACCUGCUUUCUUCUCUGGCAACACACUAAUUCAUAUUAAAUCUGUAUAUGGUGCAAAGUGUCGUGUUUCAUUAUCUGGGUAAGUCCCGGGAUGGGCAGAGUGCAGCAGCAUACAGUGCUGGGGAGGGGGAUGUGGGGGCAGCCUUCACUGCUAAUGCAGAGCUGAGAACAAGCAGCUUUGACUUGGCUGAGUCUAUCUGCCAAACUAGUGACUUCUGCUGGGAAACAGAACUUUCCCCCUCUUUCUUUAGAUCCCAGCUGAGCUUCAAUGCUCUGUGUUUCUCUCUAACAGGAAAGCUGUCUUCUCUCCUCCUCUGCCAUCUGUGCUCCAUCCUUAUUCUCACAUGUGACUUACUGUAGCUGCAGCCUCAUUAACUUUCAAUACUUGCAGCCUAACACGACUUAACUGGGGGGCUUGAAAGGAGAGGUAGGGC
ensembl:lncRNA